AGGGAAUAGAUACCCGGGUAGUCCACGCCGUAAACGAUGGAUGCUAGCUGUUAUCAGUAUCGACCCUGGUAGUAGCGAAAGCUAACGCGUUAAGCAUCCCGCCUGAGGAGUACGAGCGCAAGCUUAAAACUCAAAGGAAUUGACGGGGACCCGCACAAGCGGUGGAGCGUGUUGUUUAAUUCGAUGGUAAGCGAAGAACCUUACCAAGGUUUGACAUCCUGGGAAAGUUGGUGAAAGCCGACCGUGCCUUCGGGAACCCAGUGACAGGUGAUGCAUGGCCGUCGUCAGCUCGUGUCGUGAGAUGUUUGG
rnacentral:rRNA from 1 species